CAGAAAAUUUGGGUCGGGCAGUCCAUAGUGUUCUUUUUUUUUCUCUUUUUUAUUGUUUAACCUAGGUAGGACAUUAGGCAGUAUAAUAGCAAGAGCUUGGCGGCGUAACCCACCGCCCCGUUCCAAAGGGGACGCUCAUAACAUCCAUCCACCCAUCUACGCCGCUCAGGCCGGCGCCGCCACGCGAUUUUUUCUUUUGUGUGGAGCGUCGUCUCGGCAGCGUUGGCAGUCUCCAGUCAGAUCGGUAGCAUUUCGCCUCCAGAGAAGGGAGCCCUGUUUGCGUCAACGCUGGUCAGGGACGAUGGGCCGGUUCACACGGCCUCGCAAGCAGCCUCUGCAGCCGUGAAGCGCCACAGAGACCAGCGAACAGGAAACCAGGGGAUUCGGUUGCGCUGCCACCCGGCCUCGCAUGGAUCGCACACCUGCGCGUGUGAAUGGCCCACCAAUUUGAGAACGCCCGCUUGCUGCCCGGGCGCUGUCUAGACAGUAUUGUCUGCUCAGAGCACUCAACGAAAUGGUGAUGAAGGACUGAAAGAAUGCAGAAGAAGAAAAUGGUUCAUUUUUUUUUCUUUUUUGGCGGUUCAUAUGGACGUACGCAGUAAAUGAAACUGGUUCAAACGUA